CAAGUCGAACGCGAAAGUGGAGCAAUCCAUGAGUAGAGUGGCAAACGGGUGAGUAACACGUGGGUGACCUGCCUUCGAGCGGGGGAUAACGUCCCGAAAGGGACGCUAAUACCGCAUGACAUCCUGUCUUUUAACAGAUGGAGAUCAAAGCCGGGGAUCGCAAGACCUGGCACUCGAAGAGGGGCCCGCGCCUGAUUAGCUAGUUGGUGAGGUAAUGGCUCACCAAGGCAACGAUCAGUAUCCGGCCUGAGAGGGCGGACGGACACACUGGGACUGAGACACGGCCCAGACUCCUACGGGAGGCAGCAGUGGGGAAUUGUUCGCAAUGGGCGCAAGCCUGACGACGCAACGCCGCGUGGAGGAUGAAGAUCUUCGGGUCGUAAACUCCUUUCGAUCGAGACGAAUGGCCUUCGGGUGAACAAUCCGGAGGAAUGACGGUACCGAGAGAAGAAGCCCCGGCUAACUCCGUGCCAGCAGCCGCGGUAAUACGGGGGGGGCAAGCGUUGUUCGGAAUUACUGGGCGUAAAGGGCUCGUAGGCGGCCAACUAAGUCAGACGUGAAAUCCCUCGGCUUAACCGGGGAACUGCGUCUGAUACUGGAUGGCUUGAGUUUGGGAGAGGGAUGCGGAACUCCAGGUGUAGCGGUGAAAUGCGUAGAUAUCUGGAGGAACACCGGUGGCGAAGGCGGCAUCCUGGACCAACACUGACGCUGAGGAGCGAAAGCCAGGGGAGCAAACGGGAUUAGAUACCCCGGUAGUCCUGG
rnacentral:rRNA from 1 species